GGAGAUGCCCCGCGGCAGCCGCGCUCUAGGCUCUAAGAGAAAAAGGAGUUGGAAUACAGAAUGCCCAUCCUUUCCAGGAGAAAGACCACUGCAGGUCAGAAGAGCAGGUCUCAGGACAGCAGGGGCAGCUGCCUCUCUCUCUGAAGCAUGGCUCAGGUGUGGAGAAGGGUUUCAGAACACUUCUGGGAAUCCGUCAUUAACAGCUGAAGAGAAGACGAUUACAGAAAAGCACCUUGAAUUAUGCCCUAGACCCAAGCAAGAAACCACCACAUCUAAAAGCACCAGUGGGCUUACAGACAUAACAUGGAGCUCCAGUGGAAGUGAUUUGUCGGAUGAAGAUAAGACACUUUCUCAGUUACAGAGAGAUGAAUUACAGUUUAUCGACUGGGAGAUUGACAGUGACAGGGCAGAGGCUAGUGACUGUAAUGAAUUUGAAGAUGACGAGGGUGCUGUGGAAAUCUCAGACUGUGCUUCUUGUGCAAGUAAUCAGUCUUUGACAAGUGAUGAGAAGCUGUCGGAGCUUCCCAAGCCAAGUUCUAUAGAAAUUUUAGAGUAUUCAUCAGAUAGUGAAAAAGAAGAUGACUUGGAAAAUGUCCUACUCAUUGAUUCAGAAUCCCCUCACAAAUACCACGUGCAGUUUGCAUCGGAUGCAAGACAGAUUAUGGAGAGACUGAUAGAUCCAAGGACAAAAUCAACAGAGACCAUUUUGCAUACACCUCAGAAACCCACAGCUAAGUUUCCCAGGACUCCAGAAAAUUCAGCAAAGAAGAAGCUUUUAAGAGGUGGACUAGCAGAAAGACUAAAUGGACUGCAGAAUCGAGAGAGAUCUGCUAUUUCUUUGUGGAGACAUCAAUGUAUUUCUUACCAAAAGACACUUUCAGGUAGAAAAUCUGGUGUAUUAACUGUGAAAAUUUUAGAGCUGCAUGAGGAAUGUGCCAUGCAAGUUGCCAUGUGUGAGCAGUUAUUGGGGUCACCAGCCACCAGCUCCUCCCAAAGUGUGGCUCCCAGGCCUGGAGCUGGCCUGAAAGUUCUCUUCACCAAGGAGACUGCAGGCUACCUCAGGGGCCGUCCCCAGGACACUGUCCGGAUCUUCCCUCCCUGGCAAAAACUGAUUAUUCCAAAUGGAAGUUGCCCUGUUAUUCUGAAUACUUACUUUUGUGAGAAAGUUGUUGCCAAAGAAGAUUCAGAAAAAACUUGUGAAGUGUACUGUCCGGACAUACCCCUUCCAAGAAGAAGCAUCUCUUUGGCCCAGAUGUUUGUAAUUAAGGGUCUAACAAAUAAUUCACCUGAAAUCCAGGUUGUGUGUAGUGGUGUAGCCACUACAGGGACAGCCUGGACCCACGGGCACAAAGAAGCAAAACAGCGCAUCCCAACCGGCGCUCCCCUGAGGGAUUCUCUCCUGGAUGUGGUGGAAAGCCAGGGAGCUGCCUCGUGGCCAGGAGCUGGAGUCCGAGUGGUGGUGCAAAGAGUGUAUUCUCUUCCCAGCAGAGACAGCACCAGGGGUCAGCAGGGGGCCAGCUCAGGACACACAGACCCAGCUGGAACUCGAGCCUGCCUUCUGGUACAAGAUGCCUGUGGAAUGUUCGGUGAAGUGCACUUGGAGUUCACCAUGUCGAAGGCAAGACAGUUGGAAGGGAAGUCUUGCAGCCUGGUGGGAAUGAAGGUUCUACAGAAAGUCACCAGAGGAAGGACAGCGGGGAUUUUCAGUUUGAUUGACACCCUAUGGCCCCCAGCGAUACCUCUGAAAACACCUGGCCGCGACCAGCCCUGUGAAGAGAUAAAAACUCAUCUGCCUCCUCCAGCCUUGUGUUACAUCCUCACAGCUCAUCCAAAUCUGGGACAAAUUGAUAUAAUUGACGAAGACCCCAUUUAUAAGCUUUACCAGCCUCCAGUUACCCGCUGCUUAAGAGACAUUCUCCAGAUGAAUGAUCUUGGUACCCGUUGCAGCUUCUAUGCCACAGUGAUUUACCAAAAACCACAGCUGAAGAGUCUGCUUCUUCUGGAGCAAAGGGAGAUCUGGCUGCUAGUGACCGAUGUCACUCUGCAAACGAAGGAGGAGAGAGACCCCAGGCUCCCCAAAACCCUGCUGGUCUAUGUGGCCCCCUUGUGUGUGCUGGGCUCUGAAGUCCUGGAGGCACUCGCUGGGGCUGCCCCUCACAGCCUCUUCUUCAAGGACGCUCUCCGUGACCAGGGUGUGCUUGCUUCUCCACAGCUUUGAUGCAGGGGCGACUGAUCGGUGCCCAUAGAAUACCUCUUGUGGCCUCUGGAUGCCUCCAUGUUGCUUGGACGCUGCCGGCACCUUCACGGAGCCCAUCACAGACAUGGCCCAUGUACCAGCCUCCAGCCUUCACUGACCCUGUAGCAGCCACCUGGGCAGAACCAGCUCCAUGGAGAUGCUGUGCUCACUCCAGAAUUGUCUGCUGGUGGCACCCCAUACUGCUGCAGAAUCCACAAACAAACCAAAAGCUAGAAUAUUAUAAAUGCGUAUACUUAGAUCAGCCAGCCCCUUUUUCCAGGGAUCAAACUAAAAUCCUGCCUAAGCUAUCUUUUUUAAUUUUUAUUGAGUUAUAAUUCACAUACCACAUAAUUUACCCUUUGUGGAUUGACUUGAAUCUCAUAUUUGAGUGCUUUUUUAGCUUAGCUCACGGGGUUCAGGAGUGUGCACACACAAUGAACGUGCUGCUGGACACAGUCCCAUAACUGCACCUUCACCUGCAUGACUCAAGGGAUAGCAAAGGAGACUGCCAUUAUGGGCACAAUU
rnacentral:sRNA from 1 species